rnacentral:rRNA from 1 species
UACGAAGGGGGCUAGCGUUGUUCGGAAUCACUGGGCGUAAAGGGCGCGUAGGCGGCUUUAUAAGUCGGGGGUGAAAGCCUGUGGCUCAACCACAGAAUUGCCUUCGAUACUGUAGAGCUUGAGACCGGAAGAGGUAAGUGGAACUGCGAGUGUAGAGGUGAAACUCGUAGAUAUUCGCAAGAACACCAGUGGCGAAGGCGGCUUACUGGUCCGGUUCUGACGCUGAGGCGCGAAAGCGUGGGGAGCAAACAGG